UCGCGGCUUAUCACCGGCAGUCCCCUUAGAGUGCCCAACUGAAUGAUGGCAACUAAGGGCGAGGGUUGCGCUCGUUGCGGGACUUAACCCAACACCUCACGGCACGAGCUGACGACAGCCAUGCAGCACCUGUACAGAUUCUCCUUGCGGAACAAUGGCUUUCACCAAAUUUAAUCUGCGUUUCAAGCCUAGGUAAGGUUCUUCGCGUUGCAUCGAAUUAAACCACAUGCUCCACUGCUUGUGCGGGCCCCCGUCAAUUCCUUUGAGUUUCAACCUUGCGAUCGUACUUCCCAGGUGGAGAACUUAAUGCGUUAGCUAAGUCACUGACCCUUAAAAGGGCCAACAACUAGUUCUCAUCGUUUAGGGUGUGGACUAC
rnacentral:misc_RNA from 1 species